rnacentral:rRNA from 1 species
UACGUAGGGUGCAAGCGUUGUCCGGAAUUAUUGGGCGUAAAGAGCUCGUAGGCGGUCUGUCGCGUCGGCUGUGAAAACCUGGGGCUUAACUCCGGGCCUGCAGCCGAUACGGGCAGACUAGAGUUCGGCAGGGGAGACUGGAAUUCCUGGUGUAGCGGUGAAAUGCGCAGAUAUCAGGAGGAACACCGGUGGCGAAGGCGGGGCUCUGGGCCGAAACUGACGCUGAGGAGCGAAAGCGUGGGGAGCAAACAGG